rnacentral:rRNA from 1 species
UUGUGCGGGGUAACGGCCCACCAAGGCGACGAUCAGUAGCCGGCCUGAGAGGGUGAACGGCCACAUUGGGACUGAGACACGGCCCAAACUCCUACGGGAGGCAGCAG